rnacentral:siRNA from 1 species
CCGGAAAGGCUGUGAAUUUCGCC